CCGGCGAACGGGUGCGUAACACGUGAGCAACCUACCGAUUUGCGGGGGAUAGCCGGCCCAACGGCCGGGUAAUACCGCAUACGCUCGUAAGGCCUCCUGGUCUAACGAGGAAACCUCCGGGGCAAAUCGAGGGGCUCGCGGCCUAUCAGCUAGUUGGCGAGGUCACGGCUCACCAAGGCGACGACGGGUAGCUGGUCUGAGAGGAUGGCCAGCCACAUUGGGACUGAGAAACGGCCCAG
rnacentral:rRNA from 1 species